CACGUAGGGUGCGAGCGUUGUCCGGAAUUAUUGGGCGUAAAGAGCUCGUAGGCGGUGUGUCGCGUCGGCCGUGAAAACCUGUGGCUUAACCACAGGCUUGCGGUUGAUACGGGCAGGCUAGAGUUCGGUAGGGGAGACUGGAAUUCCUGGUGUAGCGGUGAAAUGCGCAGAUAUCAGGAGGAACACCGGUGGCGAAGGCGGGUCUCUGGGCCGAUACUGACGCUGAGGAGCGAAAGCGUGGGGAGCGAACAGG
rnacentral:rRNA from 1 species